UAGGGAAUCUUCGGCAAUGGACGAAAGUCUGACCGAGCAACGCCGCGUGAGUGAAGAAGGUUUUCGGAUCGUAAAACUCUGUUGUUAGAGAAGAACAAGGAUGAGAGUAGAAUGUUCAUCCCUUGACGGUAUCUAACCAGAAAGCCACGGCUAACUACGUGCCAGCAGCCGCGGUAAUACGUAGGUGGCAAGCGUUGUCCGGAUUUAUUGGGCGUAAAGCGAGCGCAGGCGGUUUCUUAAGUCUGAUGUGAAAGCCCCCGGCUCAACCGGGGGAGGUCAAUGGAAACUGGGAAACUUGAGUGCAGAAGAGGAGAGUGGAAUUCCAUGUGUAGCGGUGAAAUGCGUAGAUAUAUGGGGGAACACCAGUGGCGAAGGCGGCUCUCUGGUCUGUAACUGACGCUGAGGCUCGAAAGCGUGGGGAGCAAACAGG
rnacentral:rRNA from 1 species